AUGGCUAAUUAUUCUCAAUGGCACACCGAAAGAUCUUCUAGUAAAAAAGUGCAUGCUAUAGAAGAAAUCAAUGUUUUGAGUGGAAAGAUGGAUGAACUUAUGAAGAUGUUUUCUACUAAAAAUACUCCUCUUGAUCCCAAUGAUAUGCCUUUGUCUUCCUUGAUUGAGAAUAAUAAUGAAUCUAUGGAUGUGAAUUUUGUUGGUAGGAAUAGUUUUGGAAAUAAUGCUUAUAGAGGAAAUUUUAAUGCUAGACCGUUCCCUAGUAAUCCCUCUAAUAAUUAUGGAAAUUCCUACAAUAAUUCUUAUGGUAAUUUUAAUAAGAUGCCCUCUGAUUUUGAGAAUAGUGUGAAAGAAUUUAUGAUUUCUCAAAAGAAUUUUAAUGCUUUGCUUGAAGAAAAAUUGCUCAAAGUUGAUGAUUUGGCUAGGAACGUUGAUAGACUUUCGCUUGAUGUUAAUUCUCUUAAACUUGGAUCGUCUUCUCCUAAGCAUGAUAUCAAUGAGUCUCUUAAAGUAAUGAGAAUUUCCAUUGACGAGUGCAAGUAA
rnacentral:rRNA from 1 species